CUUGGGAGCCAAAUGGGAAGUUUUUGUACAAAUUCCUGGACAAUAGAUUGCAAAUUUGUGAAAAUUAUCCUCCCAAAAUCAUCAUAAAACGUGUGAUAUUAGUGAAAUAGUUGAAUUAACUGCACAGGUACUGUGAAAACCCCCUAAAACUGUGCUUGAAUCUGUCCCCAAUAAUUAUCGAUUUACCUUAUGUUGGGUCACAGGGAAAAAAGGCAUAAUUUAAUUGGUGAAAACAAGGUGAAAAAUGUCGUAAUACCCUCCAAAUUUGUCAUAUUCAUUGUCUGAGAACAAUAAAUCAGGCUGUUAAGUGGGGAAAAGGGGAAAAGAAGUGCGUGAAAAGUACUCUGGGGGGCAUUUUAAUGCAUCCAGUUGGUUGAGAGGGAAGUAGUGACUUGAUUGUCCGGAAAAGAAAGACUUAAUGCUGCCCAGACGGACAACCUGGUAGAUGUACUUAGGAGAAUAAAAGGUCUGAAGAAAAUGUCUAAUCCCAUUCCACCACUUGUCUGUGACACACCACCUCCCAUUGAUGAUGACUUUGAGCCCUUUGACGAUGAUUUUGGGGCCUUCGAGGGAGCUGAAGAGACAAUAUCUCCCCGGGAGGAGAAAUUGUCUACAAGUGAUGGGAAGUUUGAUCUUCCCGUUCCGGAAAUUCCAAAUGUGGUGGAACCCUUGGGAGUAGAUUUGCCUAUUAGGAGAGAAGAACCUCUGGGGGAGUCCGUAGAAUCUCCAAAGGAAUCCAAGGAGGAUAUUCUCGAGGAGAGUAGUGAGAAAAGUAGAAAUAGUGAGAUUCCGGGGGAAGAAGUUCUUCCGGAACAGCAGGAACUGCGUCUGAGUGAUGAUGUCACGGUUAAAAGGUGCGAAAGUCCCCCAUCUUUGGUCCUCUCGGAAGACUUCAGUUGCUUCCCAGAGGACGUCCAAGCUGAAGACAAUAGCAAUUCUGGUGAUGAAGUAUCCCUGCCAUCCUUGCAUCUCGAUUCGGGUGGAGUGUCUAAGAGUGUGACACCCACAUUCACUCCACACCUCGCCGUGCCAGACAAUAUCGACAGCAACUUUGCCAUCUCCGAAGAUGACAAAGUGGGUCACGACGACGAAACUGAGGAGAAUUUUGAUGAUUUUGCCGAAUUCUCAAGUGCUCCAGUUACGGAUGAUUUGGCCAGAUUGCAAAUAAAUCAAGAGCCUGCUCAGGAAAUCCCCCAAGAAUUUGGUGAAUUCUCAUCAUCAGCGACAGCAGCAGAAAGUGUCAGUAUUCCCAAUGAGGUGAUAGACUUUGUAGCGGAUUUUAGUCAAUUUGACGCCGCCUCGGAAGUUCCGGCAAAUGUGGUUGUGAGUGACAGUGAAAAUCAAUCAACGAGAGACAAUCAGCCCGAGGAUGAUGAUGAUGAUGAUGAUGAAUUUGGGGAUUUUAGUGAUUUUCAGCAAACAGAAGCAGCAACGGAAGCUGUGAUAGAUACCACCAAUUUAAAUAGUCAAUUCCAAUCUGCACUCAAUUUUAUGUUUCCCAAAGUACCCAAUCCCGAAGAGGAGGAGGAGGAGGAGCAGGAUGCCACUGGAGAUGGCAAGAUUGACACGAAAUUCGUCCAGCAGAUCCAAAUGAUGGAGGAAUUGAGGGAUUUCGAAGCGUCCAAGGCACUUCAGUAUCAAUGGCUGAAUUCGACUUCGAAUCAAUACCUAAUCCGAUCGCUUGGCAUUGAUUCCCGGAAUAUUCUCUACGGAGGAAAGUGGAAUAGUUCAAUGCCACGAUUUGCUGCAAAUUUGGGCUUUAGUCCACUGCAACCGAUGAAGCCUGGUCCUGGUGCAUCAUCCACCUCCUCAAGUGCACCAAAUCAGCAGCGCGAUGGGAGUGAAAUGGUGGCUUUACCUGCUACUGGAGGAGGAGGAGGAGUAUCUGAGGUGCCAGCAGCUCAAUUUGACUGGACAUCUUCGGGUUUGGUGAAUCCUCUUGAUGGCGCCCCAAAGGUCCUACCGAAAUCAGACGAUCCAAAAGAUCCGAAAGAGCAGCCUGAGCUUGCUGCGACGACCACGUCUGCAGCUCCAGUUGCAGCAGCCAGUGACUCAUCUGAGUCACAAUCAGACGACAUCCACGUGGCGAAGGAAGUGAGUGGGGGAAGUGUGCGCCCAGGGGCCACAAAUAUCCUGCCACAGUCCUUCAGUCAACCCCUCAGGGAGACACACAUUUUCACCCCGAGCAAAUCCAGCAAUCCCGUGUCGCGCGAGGUAAGUGACCACGCAUCAGUUGCUGAGAGUAAGAUUGUUGUGAAGGAGUACAGGGAUGUUGAGUAUAAUCCUGAGAAGGUGGCACGUGUUGAUGAUGAUGAUUUUUCGGACUUUACGGAAUUCAAGGGUUCAUCUGGGGUGGAAGAAGUUGGAGUUGGAAAGAAAGUUCCAACAAUAGAAUCACCAUAUCGUAUUGUUGACAAAGUUGUGGAUUUCACGAAGCCAACUUUUGGUGUGUCUCCCACGGAGGAGAUGGUCAAUGGGAGGGGUAAUAAAAUGAAGGGUGAUCAGGGUGAGGAGGAUGACUUCUGUGAUUUUCAAUCAGUAACACCACAACAUUCCACAAAAAAUAGUCAAACAAUAGCACCCAUUCUGCAGCCACUGAAUGUGAUGAAAUUGCCCGAGAGUACACCAAAAAUUGCCUGGCCAAGUCCUGGUAUAAAUCCCGAUGAGAUGGCACGAUUGGAAGCAAUUUUUCCACAAAAGAGAAGUGCAUCGUUGCCAUUGUCCGAGAAGGUGGCCAUAAUUGAGACAAAAACCACGGAAAAGAGUAAAGAUGACGAUGAAUGGUCGGAUUUUGUGUCAGGUAACAACAUAUCAUCUACGUCCAAUCGGGAUGAUGAUUGGACGGAUUUUAUGAGUGGAACACCAUCAGCGCCACCAGGAUCAUCACAGAAAUCCCUUCAGCAAGGACCAAAUUUUUCAUCAUGGACCACACCACAAUUGCCACCACCUCAAUUUACAGCCUGGCAUCACAGUAACAUCUUCAGUCAGCCUCCUCAAUAUGGGCCAGGCGGUGUGCAAAAGGCAACAGUGGCACCACAAAUGAUCAAUAACAAUCACUUAAGCAAGGGAAAUGGACAAAUCAAUGGUUUUCCCCUAGUUCCACCUUCACUGUCCACCAUUUCGACUGGCAAUGCAAUGUAUCAGCGACCAAGGAGACCACAAACUGAUACACCGAGUAUUUCAGUGAUUCCGGACAUGAGUUUCCGGGCACCAAAGUCCCUGAUUCAGCUUCCGCGUUCGAAUUAUGCCAAGAAAUGAUUUUUGGAGUGCGAUCAGACGGCAAUGGGCGAUGUGUCCAUGUGAAGUCUGAUCGCUUGGGUAUUAGGGGAACUUCUCUGGGAAGAGGCUGCAAAAGUGGUGCCCCAGUUUCCCCUAUACUUUUUGCAGAGCAGACCUUUUUUGUGUGUCGAGUCCAUCCUCAAGGAAAGAAGAAAUAUAUUGUGAAAUUAAAGAGAUCACGCAUUACUUAAAAACUAUUAUAUAUUUUACAAUAACACACAGAGAAAAAAUUAUGAUCUUUUAUAUCUCAAUUCUUUCUGUUUUUGUUUCAUUUUUUUUCAAUCUUUGUAAUAAAAGAAAAUGCAUAAAAUGUGAGUCUUGUGAAAGCAAAAUGAGCUAGAAAUUCAACCAAGCAGUGUGUAAAUUAGUUGGCAGAAAGAUAUUGAAGAAAGAAAAAAAAACAGCGUUAAAAAGAAAUUUGUAUAAUGAAAGGAUGUAAAUAUACUUACAAUAAAUGUUAUUUAUGUAAAAAGGAAAACUGUUUUUUGGGUGUUUUAUUGUACAAAAAACCAUUUAUUCUCAGUUUUGUUUAACAUUAUAAAUUUGCAAUUAAUGGAACAGAUUAGAGUCAUUUUACAAAGUUGCUCUUUUAUUUUCUUCUCCUUUCUCUUUUUUUUCAUUUCUUAAUUCAAGACACGGACAAAAUGGGGAGAAUAGAGAGGGGGACUUAAAAUAGGAAAGGAUGCCUUAAAAGUAAGUGAUUAAAAUAUCUUUUUUUCUCGGUAAAAUUUUUAUCGUCACUUUGCAUUUUAAUUAAGAGAAAUAUCCUAAAUUACACAUUUAUUUAUUUUUUUUACAUUUCCCGUAAACUACAUUAUUUUCUUAUGUUUUUUUUCUCCUCUUUUUACUCACGUCUCCAAAGUUUCUAGCAAUUUUUUUUUGCGCCUUCGAGCGCCAAUUACAAUUUUUUUUAAGAAAUAGAUCAAAAUAGAGUGAAAUAGAUCAGAGAAUGUUUUGCAUGAUUGGUGUAUUUUUUUCUUUUUUAAAAUCGUUUUUUUUUAGAUGAAGAAAUGUCGUGCUAGUUGCAAUAUAUACGAAUGCAUUACAAUUAUUAUUUUGUUUUUUAAAUUCUUCUCCCAAUGAUUUUAUUAAUUAAUCUUUGUCACAUUGAUAUUUUUCUUCUUCAACUCUUGAAUAUUUUUUUUUAUAAAGAUUUUCUUUCCGAGAAGGUACCACAAAAUGUCCCAAAACUGUUCAUGUCCUUAAAACAAACAUAUUACAAAUUGGUUCGGUUUAUCUUAAAUAUUUUU